rnacentral:rRNA from 1 species
CAUAGGUUAAUGAGGCGAACCGGGGGAACUGAAACAUCUAAGUACCCCGAGGAAAAGAAAUCAACCGAGAUUCCCCCAGUAGCGGCGAGCGAACGGGGAGCAGCCCAGAGCCUGAAUCAGUGUGUGUGUUAGUGGAAGCGUCUGGAAAGGCGCGCGAUACAGGGUGACAGCCCCGUACACAAAAAUGCACAUGCUGUGAGCUCGAUGAGUAGGGCGGGACACGUGGUAUCCUGUCUGAAUAUGGGGGGACCAUCCUCCAAGGCUAAAUACUCCUGACUGACCGAUAGUGAACCAGUACCGUGAGGGAAAGGCGAAAAGAACCCCGGCGAGGGGAGUGAAAAAGAACCUGAAACCGUGUACGUACAAGCAGUGGGAGCACGCUUCGGCGUGUGACUGCGUACCUUUUGUAUAAUGGGUCAGCGACUUAUAUUCUGUAGCAAGGUUAACCGAAUAGGGGAGCCGAAGGGAAACCGAGUCUUAACUGGGCGUUAAGUUGCAGGGUAUAGACCCGAAACCCGGUGAUCUAGCCAUGGGCAGGUUGAAGGUUGGGUAACACUAACUGGAGGACCGAACCGACUAAUGUUGAAAAAUUAGCGGAUGACUUGUGGCUGGGGGUGAAAGGCCAAUCAAACCGGGAGAUAGCUGGUUCUCCCCGAAAGCUAUUUAGGUAGCGCCUCGUGAAUUCAUCUCCGGGGGUAGAGCACUGUUUCGGCAAGGGGGUCAUCCCGACUUACCAACCCGAUGCAAACUGCGAAUACCGGAGAAUGUUAUCACGGGAGACACACGGCGGGUGCUAACGUCCGUCGUGAAGAGGGAAACAACCCAGACCGCCAGCUAAGGUCCCAAAGUCAUGGUUAAGUGGGAAACGAUGUGGGAAGGCCCAGACAGCCAGGAUGUUGGCUUAGAAGCAGCCAUCAUUUAAAGAAAGCGUAAUAGCUCACUGGUCGAGUCGGCCUGCGCGGAAGAUGUAACGGGGCUAAACCAUGCACCGAAGCUGCGGCAGCGACACUGUGUGUUGUUGGGUAGGGGAGCGUUCUGUAAGCCUGUGAAGGUGUACUGUGAGGUAUGCUGGAGGUAUCAGAAGUGCGAAUGCUGACAUAAGUAACGAUAAAGCGGGUGAAAAGCCCGCUCGCCGGAAGACCAAGGGUUCCUGUCCAACGUUAAUCGGGGCAGGGUGAGUCGACCCCUAAGGCGAGGCCGAAAGGCGUAGUCGAUGGGAAACAGGUUAAUAUUCCUGUACUUGGUGUUACUGCGAAGGGGGGACGGAGAAGGCUAUGUUGGCCGGGCGACGGUUGUCCCGGUUUAAGCGUGUAGGCUGGUUUUCCAGGCAAAUCCGGAAAAUCAAGGCUGAGGCGUGAUGACGAGGCACUACGGUGCUGAAGCAACAAAUGCCCUGCUUCCAGGAAAAGCCUCUAAGCAUCAGGUAACAUCAAAUCGUACCCCAAACCGACACAGGUGGUCAGGUAGAGAAUACCAAGGCGCUUGAGAGAACUCGGGUGAAGGAACUAGGCAAAAUGGUGC